GCGCUCACUUGGGCAGCACAUGUACUAAAAUUGGAACGAUGCAGAGAUUAGCAUGGCCCCUGCACAAGGAUGACAGGCAAAUUCAUGAAGCUAUCAGGCACAAG
ensembl:snRNA U6 U6 spliceosomal RNA